UCUACCAUAAAUGCUGAAAAUCGAGGGAAACUCCCAUAUAACCAUCGCGGAGGUUCUAAAUCAUUCAUUCAAUAUAGUUACGAUGGUACCGAUCAGUUACAAAGAAAAGAUCGGAUUACUGUUUUUAAUGAAACUCAUUAUAGCUCGUCAAAAGGAUGGAUUGAUGAGACGGCCAAAACUGCAUAUGAUGAUAUGGUGAGACUACGUGAUGAGUGUAUUCAAACACAAAAUCCAGAAGAGG